rnacentral:rRNA from 1 species
GACGAACGCUGGCGGCGUGCCUAAUACAUGCAAGUCGAACGAACUCUGGUAUUGAUUGGUGCUUGCAUCAUGAUUUACAUUUGAGUGAGUGGCGAACUGGUGAGUAACACGUGGGAAACCUGCCCAGAAGCGGGGGAUAACACCUGGAAACAGAUGCUAAUACCGCAUAACAACUUGGACCGCAUGGUCCGAGCUUGAAAGAUGGCUUCGGCUAUCACUUUAGGAUGGUCCCGCGGCGUAUUAGCUAGAUGGUGGGGUAACGGCUCACCAUGGCAAUGAUACGUAGCCGACCUGAGAGGGUAAUCGGCCACAUUGGGACUGAGACACGGCCCAAACUCCUACGGGAGGCAGCAGUAGGGAAUCUUCCACAAUGGACGAAAGUCUGAUGGAGCAACGCCGCGUGAGUGAAGAAGGGUUUCGGCUCGUAAAACUCUGUUGUUAAAGAAGAACAUAUCUGAGAGUAACUGUUCAGGUAUUGACGGUAUUUAACCAGAAAGCCACGGCUAACUACGUGCCAGCAGCCGCCGUAA